AGAGUUUGAUCCUGGCUCAGAAUGAACGCUGGCGGCGUGCUUAACACAUGCAAGUCGUACGAGAACUCUUCUGCUUGCAGAAGAUAGUAAAGUGGCGCACGGGUGAGUAACGCGUGGGUAAUCUACCUCCGAAUUGGGGAUAACCCCGCGAAAGCGGGGCUAAUACCGGAUAAUAUCUUUUAUAUUUCGGCAUUAAAGAUCAAAGGUGGUCUCUACAUGUAAGCUACUGUUUGGAGAUGAGCCCGCGUGCCAUUAGCUUGUUGGUAGGGUAAUGGCCUACCAAGGCUACGAUGGCUAGCUGGUCUGAGAGGAUGAUCAGCCACACUGGAACUGACACACGGUCCAGACUCCUACGGGAGGCAGCAGUGAGGAAUUUUGCGCAAUGGGGGAAACCCUGACGCAGCAACGCCGCGUGAGUGAUGAAGGCUUUCGGGUCGUAAAGCUCUGUCAAGUGGGAAGAACAUGCUCGAUGCUAAUACCAUCGUGCACUGACGGUACCACUGAAGGAAGCACCGGCUAACUCCGUGCCAGCAGCCGCGGUAAUACGGGGGGUGCAAGCGUUAUUCGGAAUUAUUGGGCGUAAAGGGCGCGUAGGCGGUCUCUUAAGUCAGAUGUGAAAGCCCGGGGCUCAACCCCGGAAGUGCAUUUGAAACUAAGGGACUUGAGUAUGGGAGAGGGAAGUGGAAUUCCUGGUGUAGCGGUGAAAUGCGUAGAUAUCAGGAGGAACACCGGUGGCGAAGGCGACUUCCUGGACCAAUACUGACGCUGAGGCCGCGAAGGCGUGGGGAGCAAACAGGAUUAGAUACCCUGGUAGUCCACGCAGUAAACGGUGAACACUAGGUGUAGCGGGUAUUGACCCCUGCUGUGCCGCAGCUAACGCAUUAAGUGUUCCGCCUGGGGAGUACGGCCGCAAGGUUAAAACUCAAAGGAAUUGACGGGGGCCCGCACAAGCGGUGGAGCAUGUGGUUUAAUUCGACGCACGCGAGACCCUUACCUGGAUUUGACAUCCCGAGAAUCAUCGAAGAUGAUGUGCCCUCGGGGACUCCGUGACGUGCUGCAUGCUGUCGUCAGCUCGGGUCUGAAAUGUUGGGUAGUCCCGCAGCGAGCCCACCCCUAUUCUUAGUACCAGCACUCGAUGGGACCUAAGAUCUGCCGGGUUACCGGAGGAGGGUUGAUACCCUCAGCUUCUCUAUGGCCUUAUGGUCCAGGCCUCUACCACGGUGCUCAUCAAUGUGGC
rnacentral:rRNA from 1 species